rnacentral:tRNA from 1 species
GGAGGAGUGGCCGAGCGGUUGAAGGCGGCGGUCUUGAAAACCGCAGUCCGUUAACAGCGGACCGGGGGUUCGAAUCCCUCCUCCUCCGCCA